AGGGAAUCUUCCGCAAUGGACGAAAGUCUGACGGAGCAACGCCGCGUGAGUGAAGAAGGCCUUCGGGUCGUAAAACUCUGUUGCCGGGGAAGAACAAGUGCCGUUCGAAUAGGGCGGCACCUUGACGGUACCUAACCAGAAAGCCACGGCUAACUACGUGCCAGCAGCCGCGGUAAUACGUAGGGGGCAAGCGUUGUCCGGAAUUAUUGGGCGUAAAGCGCGCGCAGGCGGCUGUUUAAGUCUGGUGUUUAAUCCUGGGGCUCAACCCCGGGUCGCACUGGAAACUGGACAGCUUGAGUGCAGAAGAGGAGAGUGGAAUUCCACGUGCAGCGGUGAAAUGCGUAGAGAUGUGGAGGAACACCAGUGGCGAAGGCGACUCUCUGGGCUGUAACUGACGCUGAGGCGCGAAAGCGUGGGGAGCAAAC
rnacentral:rRNA from 1 species